rnacentral:tRNA from 1 species
CAUUAAGAAGCUAAUUCUUAAGCGUUAACCUUUUAAGUUAAAGUGUGAGAGCUUGGACCUCUCCUUAAUGG